rnacentral:rRNA from 1 species
GAUGAACGCUGGCGGCGUGCCUAAUACAUGCAAGUCGAGCGAACAGACGAGGAGCUUGCUCCUCUGACGUUAGCGGCGGACGGGUGAGUAACACGUGGAUAACCUACCUAUAAGACUGGGAUAACUUCGGGAAACCGGAGCUAAUACCGGAUAAUAUAUUGAACGGCAUGGAUCAAUAGUGAAAGACGGUUUUGCUGUCACUUAUAGAUGGAUCCGCGCCGCAUUAGCUAGUUGGUAAGGUAACGGCUUACCAAGGCAACGAUGCGUAGCCGACCUGAGAGGUUGAUCGGCCACACUGGAACUGAGACACGGUCCAGACUCCUACGGGAGGCAGCAGUAGGGAAUCUUCCGCAAUGGGCGAAAGCCUGACGGAGCAACACCGCGUGAGUGAUGAAGGUCUUCGGAUCGUAAAACUCUUUUAUUAGGAAAGAACAACUGUGUAUGUAACUAUGCACGUCUUGACGGUACCUAAUCAGAAAGCCACGGCUAACUACGUG